CGUAGACGGCAUACAGCAGGCAGGUCUGUAUCGCUACAACUGCAACAUGAACUAUAGUAGACGGCAUACAGCAGGCAGGUCUGUAUCGCUACAACUGCAACAUGAACUAUAGUAGGCGGCGUAUAGCAGGCAGGUCUGUAUCGCUACAACUGCAACAUGAACUAUAGUAGACGGCAUACAGCAGGCAGGUCUGUAUCGCUACAACUGCAACAUGAACUAUAGUAGACAGCAUACAGCAGGCAGGUCUGUAUCGCUACAACUGCAACAUGAACUAUAGUAGACGGCGUACAGCAGGCAGGUCUGUAUCGCUACAACUGCAACAUGAACUAUAAAAGCCUUGCUCUGGGUAUACAGGGGGCUUACUGCAUUGAAUAGAAAGUUAAGCAAUAUUAGACUGUGCAGUCCACACAGGCUAAUCAGGGAUGAGACUUUCCGCCUAAACAGGUUUUUCAUUAAGAUAGAGACUUCCUUUAAAAAGAUAAAUACCAUUUAAGCAAAAAGUGUUGUAUUUGACAAGCCUGUGUAGACUUCACAAACUUAUCUUAGAGGAAACUUUAAGCACAUCUAUUUAGCCGGAUUUUCCCAGAUCAAUCAAAAUGCAUCAAAUCUUUCAGGGAUCAACUUUGAUGGAACUUAAAAAAGCUUUGCAUAUUUUAAAUUAUGGAUGUUUUCACCAAUUCAAGCAUUGAAACUAAACAAUUAAAAUAUAUUCUACAAUGACAGUAGUUGUUAGAUUUAUAUAACACUUAAUCUGUGAAAACAAGAGGGCCUGAAAGGCCCAAGGUAUCCCCCGCAACAUAUGCUUUGUUUGAGGAUGGGUGCAAAUUGGACGGAUGAACAUAAUGAUAGAUGGACGGACGGAGGACAAUAACACAAAACUAAGACAAAGGAAGGUUCUUAAGCCUUCACAAUUUAUUUCAUACCAAGUUUCAAAGAAAUCCGCCAAAGCGCUUCCAAGAUAUGGCUCCGGACACAAAAA